GAUAGAUAGAAGCAAAAGGCAUAGCUGGAAUGUUAAAUGAGUAUUUUUGUAUUGCUCCUUACCAAGCAAGAAGAUGCUGCCAGAACCUGAGUAGAAGGAGAGGCAGUGGUGAUAUUGAAUGUGGAGAAAAUUAAUUGUGGAGAGGGAUUAGAAAGUUUGGCUAUGUUUUAAGCUAAUAAAUAAUCUAAACCAAGUGGACACAUCCUGAGACGGAGGUAGAGGCUGCAGAAGGACAUGGCAUAAUCUUCAGAUUCGCCAUAGGGAGACAGGAGUGCAAAGGAUUUGUAAAUGGCAGGUAUACACUCUUAUUUUUUUUUUAAAGGGAGUAAAAGGAUAUAUUAGGCAACUAUAAAUCAGUCAUUUUAAACCUCAGUUGGAAACAAUAAUCAGGGGGGGAAAUGUGCACACUUGGGGAAGUCAUGGUUAGUAAAGGAGAGAUAGCACAGAUUUAUUAACACUGGCAGAAGGAAUAAAGUGAGAGACCAUAGACCAAGUAGCACAGUUCCAUAGGGUAAGCAGAAACAGAGGGACAUGAGUGUUUAUGUGCAUAGAUCUUUGAAACUGGCAGAGGAUGUUGAGAAGGGGUUUGAUAUAAUAUCCUGGGAUUCAAAAUUGAAGAAGAGUACUAAAGGAGUGCCAGAACAUGGGAAAUGCCUCCAGCUCUAGUCAGUUAACUUCAGGAAGGAUGCAAUGGUUUACUGGCAUUAUCCCAGAGGUCAGAUAUUGCAGCAAUCAGGUUACAUUGCAGCAGCUGGGAUUGUUCUCCACAGAGUAAAGGUUGAGAGGAGAUAGGUACUGUGUAUAGACCUGGUUCAGACAGGGUAAAGUAACCUCUUCCUACUGGCAGAUGGUUUAAGGAUUUUGGAAAACAAAUUGAAAAUGGUGGCAUAGUUUUGAGAUGGGGAUGCAAGCAGAAAAGUUUUAAUUCAAGUUGAAAUGGGAUGGAUGAGAGCUUUCAAAAGGAAAUUGGAUGGGUACUUGAGAUGGAAUAACUCUUGGACCUGAGGGGGGGGAAAUUGGAGUUUGGAACUGACAUGGCUGCUCCACUUGAAAUUGGCACAGAUUCCGUGGGCCGAAUGCUUCCUUUUGUGCCAUAACAAUUCUAUGAUUGUAAGUUAUUUUAAGAAUAAUGGUGGACAGUGACAGGCAGUAGCUAAUGGGUAGCAGAUUCAGCUCUACUUCAAAAAGAAGGAAUUAAUUUUCAUGCAGUUAGGAAAUUUAAAUUUAGAGGAUUUGGAAAAUGGCAAUGUGAUUAAACCCAGAACAUUUUUUGUCAGUUGCUUGGCACUGAUUAUUUAAGUGCGUAAUCACUUUAAAUCUGUCUAAGCAAUUCCAAAUGAUUUUAGAUCACUCAGUAUGGUAGCAAUGACUUCAAAUGCCUACAUCUGGUAACAUCAAUCUAGCGAUAUUUUCUUUGUGCGCAUGGUAUAAUGUGCAUUCUCACACAUGCUUGGUAUCACUCUUAAGUCGCUGAAAAUAACAUUAAUGUGCAGACUUGAAAGGCUGAUCUCAUCUUUGACUUCAUCUACUUUUCAUAUUUUGAAACCACUAUACAAACCAGGCAGAUGUGCUUUGCUGAAGGAAAACGAGGACAGCAUACCAUGGUGAAGCUUUUACUUGAUAAUAUCUGUCAAUGUAGCUAAAGGUAGACCCGACAGUGUUUGAAUUUUGCCAGUACCAGUAAAUGUGUUAACUCAGAAAGCAACUGAUACUUGAUAAAAACCAUUCUUUUUAGCGAUGUUCUAGGGCUGCAUAGUAGCACAGUGGCAGAGUUGCCAUCUUACAGCACCAAAGACCCAGAGAAUCCUGCUGUCAAUACAGAGUUUCUACGUUCUCCAGGUGUCUGCGCGGAUUUUCCCCGGAUGCUCCGGUUUCCUCCCACAUUACAACGACGUGAAGAUACUCACUCAAGUCCUUUCCAUCUCUGUGGAUCCCCUUCAAUGGCAGUUGCAAUAGAGAUGCUGCCCGUCCCGCUGAGGUACUCCAGCAUUUUGUGUCUAUCUCCAGUGUAAACCAGCAUCUGCAGUUCCUUCUUACACAAAGUACAGAGUGUGGCAGAAAUUGGCAGAAGAAAAAACAGAUGUGGACUGAAGCAACGUUGAAUCCUACUUUGCCAUUGGCCCCUGGCCAACAACAUCAAAUGUACCCACUUGAAUGUCAGAAGCAAAAUCCUGACUUUCAUCAACAUUUGGGCUGAGACUUCAACAAUACUGUCUAAUAUUUCACAGAAAUAGAUUUCCUUUCAUUGCACUUGUAUUUGGACAUCUGUUCAUCCAGGUGCAAAAUGACAGAAGAUAGAAACAGAACACUUCUGUGGUACACAGGGACAGAUUGGCAAAACAGAUCAUGUGCAUUGGUGUUCAGUUGCGUAACUUGGUUGUUUAUGUGUGCAUUAUUGUUCAUAAGGGAUAGUUUUAUGCCACCACAAAAUCUAAGUAGCAUGAAUAUGAGUUAUGAGCUCUUGUGUUCUUGACCCAGCUACCAACUCAAGGUCACAUCGAUAUCAUCUUCAUCUAUCCUCUACGUUAUUCUGUUUUACAAAUAAAUCAGGUGUAGGGACACUGCAAUGGCAUUCUUCAAGUGAACUUAAUCUAUGGCAAGAAAGAAGGUGGAAAAUAAGAAUCAACAAAUUUCAAUGGUGAUGAACAAAUUAUCAAACUCUGCGUGUAAUUUUCUACAUAUUUUCAUUUCCACUAAAACUUCUGAUUAAGAAAAAGACCCAAUUUAAAUUGGAAACAUUGAGAAAUAUUUAAAUCAAAGAAAGAAUGAGAUCUGGCCCCUCUACCAUGUACUUGUUAGUUUGACUGGAAAACCACUUCAAUGAGCAGAAGUGAGAAAAUUGUUCCGUGACAAGUUAAUUCUAAGACCAAACAAAAAUGAUAAAAGGUGUUAUUUAUUAUAGGGUUUCUCAAGCUUCCUCAAGCAGUUCUUAAUUAACAGUUCUUGCCUAGAUUCUCAAAAUUCUCUCAGCAUCUAAGCUACCGACUGAAUUAAGUUUUCUAUCAAGAACAUAAAUUAAACUGCGGAACAUUAUUUUACUCAUUAUACCAAGAAGAGGCUAUUUACACUUUUCUGGUUUUCCGGGAUUUGGGAAAGGAAAGGAAUCUUUAACUCAGUAAUAUCCCUGGAUAAUGGAUCUGGCCAACUCAUCAAUUUUAUGGCCAGGGAAUUAUAACACCCCAGUUGCAAUCUGUGAAUUUGAAAUAGACCAGAAAUUCAACAAUUGGUCUUCCUGGUCUGGAUCCCCUGUUUAAGAACUUGAAAAAAUUCAAUAUAAUUUCUUGUACUUUAUUUUGUCAUAGCUCAAUGCCUCAGUUUCAUCUGUUUCUAUUUCAUUUUGAUGAUAUUUUAUAUAAACGAAUGUCUGCGUCAGGGCUCAACAAGAAAAUUGUAUUUUCAAGCUUUGAAACAAAUAUAUUUAAAUCUAGACUUGCCACAAAAUUCUUGCUUUUCACUUCAAUACAAACUUAUUUUUCUGGAUUUAACUGAUUUCCUCUGUUUGUAGUUUAGUCUAGUUUAGUUUAGAUAUACAGAGCUGAAACAGGCCCUUCGGGUCCACGCCGACCAGCGAUCCCCGCACACUAACAUUGUUCUACACACACUAGGGACAAUUUACACUUUUACCAAGCCAAUUAACCUAUAUAGCUGUACGUCUUUGGAGUGUGGGAGGAAACCGAAGAUCUCGGAGAAAACCAAUGCGAUCACGGGGAGAACGUACAAACUCCAUACAGACAGCACCUGUAGUCGGGAUCAAACAUGGGUCCCAGUGCUGCAAGCGCAACAGUGUUUAUUGAAAUCACGUGACCUCUUAAGACUCAUAUAUGCAGUUUUGUUAAGAAGCAGAA